UUUAAGUAAUUAAAAACAAAGUUUAAUGAUGUAAUACUGUAACAUGCAUUUAAUUUGUUUAAAUCCCCCAUUUUUUCUUUAAAUACUGAUUUUGCUUGAAGACUGAAAGGCUAUGAUCUUGUUAAUAUUAAUGCUUUAUUGUUAUGCCACUAGGAAACUAUUGAGAGAUCUUGGGUUUUGAGAGAGAUGUUUUGCCAAUAGGAUUCCAAUAGUCUUGCUACUACAGUAUUAGUCAUGAUGCUUUAUUGUUUUUGCCACAGUGACUAGGACACUGUAUAUUAAGAGAUCUUGGAUUUUGAGAGUGAUGCUUUGUCAAUAUGAUUCCAAUGGUCUUGCUAUUAGUCAUGGUGUUUUAUUGUUUUUGCCUCUAGGAAACUGUAUAAUAACAGAUCUUGGAUUUUUGAGAAUGAUAUUUUGCUAAUACUAGCAGGGUUCCAAUGGUCUUGUUAUUAACCAUACUUUAUUGUUUUUACCAUGAGGAAAGUGUACCUUAAAAGAUGUUAGAUUUUUGAUAGUUACAUGUCAUGCAAAGAUGCUUUUGAUAUGUAUCUCUUAAUAAUUAGGUUUCACUGACCAGUAGUCACAAUUCUGUUUCAUUGACUUGACCACCAAACAGUCAUACAAGAAAGAAAACCAUGUUUAUUAUCAUUGUGUUUGAUGUUUAUGUUUAAUAUAUUGGAAAAUAAAUACAAAACAUUCGGAAAAAAAAUAAUGGGAGGAUUGGAGGGCUAUAGGGGAGGUCAGGAGGCCGUUUAAAUGUUUGGCGGUUUUGGUCAGUGAAAAACAUGAAUUGGUCAGGGAAAAGUCAGGGAAUUUUAUUCACCCAGAGUGCUGGCAACCCUGUUGACAGCUAAAGAACUAAAGCCUAAUGCUUUUAACAUUGUUAAAUAACAGAUGUUCCCUUAUGUUUUAGAGGCCAGAGGUCAAGGUCAGUGACAUUAAAACCGAGAGAGGUUUCCAAUCAGUAUCUAUAAAGUACUUUUGGGCUUACAGAUUUCAUUGAAUGAUUGCCUAUGUUGUGUUUUUGAUGUCAUUUGGUCAAAGGUCAAGGUCACAGCAUACAAAAUUACAUACUCAGUUAGUUGCCUUUGACAGGCCCUCAUGGAAGGUGAGGGGUGGGGGGUAUUUUUAUUUUUUUUAAAAAGCUGUUGUUUUAGAUUAAAAGAAAAAAGAAAACUUCUGUUGCAAAAAAGAUUAAUCAACUUGCAGUUUUCCUCCUUACAGGUAUUAUGUCAGUAUAUACAUACAGGGCGUGCAACUUUUCUAUUGUCGUGUAUGUUACAUUCUAUUUUUGUACAUCUUUUCACCAUGUAUUAAUCAGGUAUUUGUAAUGUAGGUGUUUACAUCCAAGAAGACCAAAUCUCAGUUUUCUGUCUUUCACAAUCUUUUUACUCAGGUGUGUACAUAUAUAAACUAGGGGAAAAUAACUAAUAGUGUUUCCCCUUUCAGGAUGUAUUAUACAGGUGCAUAAUGUAAAUACUGCAGGGCCAAAUUGUUAGUUUUCUUACACUUCACUGUCCUUUAUUCAGGUAUACAUGAAAUAAAACAGGGAUAAAUAACCUGAUAGUUUUUCCCCUUUUCACUGUAUGUAUUGUGUAGAUUUUGUAAUUGGGGAUCAGCUUCUUAGUUCAUUUACUUUCUUAUUCAGGUAUGUACACUAGUGAUAAAUAAUCUAAUACAUGUAGCUAUUUUGUCCCUUUCAACAUAUAUUAUUUCAAGUAUUGUGUAAGUAUACAUACUAAUGGAGCAACUUCUUAAUUUCUUGCACUUUACUGUCUUCAAGUAUGACCAUAUCAUACACAUUUUGGUCAAAUAUCCUAAUAUAGCCAUUUCCCCAUUAGGCCUACAUUAUGUAUUAUUCUGGUAUUAUAUAUUAAGUACUGUAUACAAACUGCAGGACCAAUUUCUCAGUUUCUUGCCUUUCAAAAAUAGGGUAGUAGUCAAGUUUUCUCUUACCCUUUUACCAUAUGUUAUUUUCUUUUAGUAUACCCCCAGAUACAAAGAAUAUGGAGGUUAUAUUUGUUGGUUUGUCUUGUCUUUCAAUGUCUGCUCCUUAUCUUCUUAAUUACUGGGGAGAUUUUCAUAAAACUAGCAUCACUUGUGAAUUCAUCACGACAACAUGCAGAGUGUACAGUCCAGGUCCCCAGGUCCAAUGUCAAGGUCAAACUUUAAGGUCAAAGCUCAAAUAGCUUAACCUUAUGUUCACUCCAUAUUGUCUAAACAGCUAGGAAGAUUUUCACAAACAUAAUUUACCUCACUUAGAUGAUGUGCAGAGUGAACAACCAACUUCACUAGGUCCAAGGUCAAGGUGACACUGAGGUGUAAGGUCAAAAUAACUUCACUUUGUUUCUGCUCGAGAUCUUCUAAUCUGCUGGGAAGAUUUUCAUUAAACUAGCAUCAAUUCUUCACCUAAUCCAGAUGACAUGCAGAGUGCACAACCUGGGUCAAAAGAUCCAAGAUCAAGGGGAAACAAAUUACAAAGGUCAUGAUCACAACAGUUUACUUUCUCUGUGUCAAAGUGGCAUCUGGUAGUCUCAAUGGCCUUUAGUAAUAGCUUUAGCAGGUAUGUAAAUAUACACACAAGGGAUAGCUCUAGUUCAGAUAUGUAAGUAUACACACAAGGGGUAGCUCUAGUUCAAAUAUGUAUGUAUACUCACAAGGGAUAGCUGUAGUUCAGAUAUGUAAGUAUACACACAAGGGAUAGCUCUAGUUCAGAUAUGUACAUAUACAUGCAAGGGAUGAAUCUAGUUCAGAUAUGUACGUAUACACACAAGGGAUAGCUCUAGUUCAGAUAUGUACAUAUACACGCAAGGGAUGAAUCUAGUUCAGAUAUGUAAGUAUACACACAAGGGAUAGCUCUAGUUCAGAUAUGUAGGUAUACACACAAGGGGUAGCUCUAGUUCAAAUAUGUAAGUAUACUCACAAGGGAUAGCUCUAGUUCAGAUAUGUAAGUGUACACACAAGGGGUAGCUCUAGUUCAGAUAUGUAAGUAUACUCACAAGGGAUAGCUCAGUUCAGGAGUAAGUAUCACACAAGGGGUAGCUCUAGUUCAGAUAUGUAAGUAUACUCACAAGGGAUAGCUCUAGUUCAGAUAUGUAAGUAUACACACAAGGGGUAGCUCUAGUUCAGAUAUGUACGUAUACACGUAAAGAUAUGUACGUGUACAUGCAAGGGAUAGCUUUAGUUCAGAUAUGUACGUAUACACACAAGGCAGAAAUAACUAACAGAUUAUUCAGUUUUCCCUUUCCCUGUCUAUUAUUUAUGUAUGUAGGUAUAAACAUGCUUUGUAAAAAGAAAAGUUUUUUGUUUAAAUUUCCAAAUAAAAAUCAGUUUGUUACUGUUACUUCCAUCUUUGAAAAAAAACUUUUUUUACAUACUGCUGUUUCCAUAAAUUCUGCACUAUUUUGAAGACAGGAAAGACUAGUUACUUUUUUCCAUCCUCAGUGUGAAAUAUUCAGCAUAUUAUACAUGAAGUAACAUUCAGGAGAAAAAUUGAGUAGUUUCCAAGUACAUGUUACAUGCAUAUAUUUUAUAUAUCAAGUUAAAUUUCAAGGAGAGGUUGGGCGAAUAUAGCCUUUCAUUUGAAUCAACCUGUUGGGAAGAAGACCAGCAAAAAUGGAAAGUUGUGAGAAAUGAAAAGUUACUUUGUAUUACUGAAAUACUUUUGAAAAAAAAAACUGUUAAACUCAAAACAAAGAAACUUGUUUAAAAGACUGUACAUGGUUUAGUAGCAGCUCUACCUCUGUCUUGCGUGCUCACCUCUUGCUCAGGCCAGAAAGACAAUCAUAGGAUCAGGGAAAACUUGAUAAUUAAUAUUAUAGUAGGAUAGUCCAUUUCUUGUAUUCUUGUAAAUAACAUUAAAAGAGUUACAACUUCUACCAUUUAUAGUCCAUAUGUAUUUUUUCUUUUGUGCAAAUCAUUAAAGAAAUGGCAUGUUAUGCAAAUUUA
rnacentral:lncRNA from 1 species